rnacentral:SRP_RNA from 1 species
GCUGGGCGUGGUGGCGCGCGCCUGUAAUCCCAGCUACUCAGGAGGCUGAGGCAGGAGAAUCGCUUGAACUCAGGAGGCAGAGGUUGCAGUGAGCCGAGAUCGUGCCAUUGCACUCCAGCCUGGGUGACAGAGCUAGACUCUGUCUCAA